rnacentral:rRNA from 1 species
UACAGAGGUUGCAAGCGUUAAUCGGAAUUACUGGGCGUAAAGCGCGCGUAGGUGGCAAGUUAAGUCGGAUGUGAAAGCCCUGGGCUCAACCUAGGAAUUGCAUUCGAUACUGGCUAGCUCGAGUUUGGUAGAGGAGAGUGGAAUUCCCGGUGUAGCGGUGAAAUGCGUAGAGAUGAGGAGGAACACCAGUGGCGAAGGCGGCCACCUGGACAGUAACUGACGCUGAGGCGCGAAAGCGUGGGUAGCAAACAGG